rnacentral:rRNA from 1 species
AUCCACAGCCAUGUCACCCUGCAGCCCAAGACCGGUUACUCACUGAAGCUAAGCAGGGCUGAGCCUGGUCAGUACCUGGAUGGGAGACUUUGAAUGGGUGACGUCAGGCGUUGCCGAAC